AGUUUGAUCCUGUGCUCAGGACGAACGCUGGCGGCGUGCCUAAUACAUGCAAGUCAAACGCUUCCUACCGGUGCUUGCACCGGGAAAUAAGAGUGGCGGACGGGUGAGUAACACGUGGGUAACCUACCUACAAGCGGGGGAUAACAUUCGGAAACGGAUGCUAAUACCGCAUAGAUCUUGUGGUCUCCUGGCAGAAAGAAGAAAGACGGUUUCGGCUGUCACUUGUAUAUGGACCCGCGGCGCAUUAGUUACUUGGUGAGGUAAUGGCUCACCAAUGACGAUGAUGCGUAGCCGACCUGAGAGGGUGAUCGGCCACACUGGGACUGAUACACGGACCAGACUCCUACAGGAGGCAGCAGUACGGAAUCUUCCGUAAUGGACGAAAGUCUGACGGAGCAACGCCGUGUGAGUGAAGAAGGUUUCCGGAUCGGACAACUCUGUUGUGACAGAAGAACAAGGAUGAUAGUAACUGCUCGUCCCUUGACGGUAUCUAACCAGAAAGCCAUGGCUAACUACGUGCCACCAACCGCGGUAAUACAUAGAUGGCAAGCGUCGUCCGGAUCUAUUGGACGUACAGCGAGCGCAGGCGGUUCUUUAAGUCUGAUGUGAACGCCCCUGCCUCAACCAGUGAGGGUCAUCGCAAACUGGACAACUUGAGUGCAUAAGAGGAAAGUGGAUUCCAUGUGUAGCGGUGAAAUGCGUAGAUAUAUGGAGGUACACCAGUGGCGAAGGCGACUGUCUGGUCUGUAACUGACGCUGAGGCUCGAAAGCAUGGGGAGCAAACAGGAUUAGAUACCCUGGUAGUCCAUGCCGUAAACGAUGAGUGAUAAGUGUUGGAGGGUUUCCGCCCUUCAGUGCUGCAGAUAACGCAUUAAGCACUCCGCCUGGGGAGUACGACCGCAAGGUUGAAACUCAAAGGAAUUGACGGGGGCCCGCACAAGCGGUGGAGCAUGUGGUUUAAUUCGAAGCAACGCGAAGAACCUUAUCAGGUAUUGACAUCCUUUGACCACUCUAGAGAUAGAGCUUUCCCUUCGGGGACAAAGUGACAGGUGGUGCAUGGUUGUCGUCAGCUCGUGUCGUGAGAUGUUGGGUUAAGUCCCGCAACGAGCGCAACCCUUAUUAUUAGUUGCCAGCAUUCAGUUGGGCACUGUAGUGAGACUGCCGGUGAUAAACCGGAGGAAGGUGGGGAUGACGUCGAAUCAUCAUGCCCAUUAUGUCCUGGGCUACACACGUGCUACAAUGGAUGGUACAACGAGUCGCAAAACCGCGAGGUUAAGCUAAUCUAUUAAAGCCAUUAUCAGUUAGGAUUGUAGGGUGCAAUUCGCGUACAUGAAGCCGGAAUCGCUAGUAAUCACGGAUCAGAACGCCGCCGGUGAAUACGUUCCCGGGCUGUGUACACAC
rnacentral:rRNA from 1 species